AACAGGCGAGUAGUAGAGUUGGGAUUAGAACCCAUAUCCCCUGACUCCCAGGCCUGUGCUCUCUCCAUAUGGCCAUACUGCCUCUCGUAAGUGACUCCAUUUCACAUUUUCAAGUCUCUUCCACCUCUGGUGUUAAAUUCAGUGAGUGGAAUAAGUCUGCCUCCUUUCAAAAUGCCGGCGAGGAUUUGGUUAAGCAAGUGACUUUUUGAUCUCUGAGUCACUCUCACCAAACCAGUCUUGGUGCCAUCUGCCAACAGUACCCACAGUGUUUAUGAAUGCCUGGAAGAGGGCAUCUUGGAAGUUCUCCUGUUCAUCAUUCACAAUGGAAUUUGCAGCUGGGGUGCCUUCCUUCAAGGUGAUUUGGAUUUUAUGGACUCCUUGCAGAUCUCUCCAUUCUCCAGGAGCUAGAUUACUUCCAGAUGAGGUAACUGAGGCUCAGAGAAGUUAAGUGACUUGCCC